rnacentral:rRNA from 1 species
GGGGGGGGGUGGGGGCGGGGGGGACGGGGGGGGGGCGGGGGGGGGGGGCGGGGCGGGGGGGGCGCGGGGGCGGGGCGCGUGGGAGCCUGCCCGUGGGCUGGUGAGCACUCGCGGAGAUGGGGGCUAGUGCCGGAUGAGGUCGGCGGACCAAAGCUUUAUCGCAUGUGGGUGGGCCCGCGUUGGAUUCGCUCGUGGGUAGGGUAAAAGCCGACCACGGCGCCGAUCCGUAGAUGGUCUGCGAGGAUGAUCAGCCACCCUGGGACUGAGAAACGGCACCGACUCCUACGGGAGGCAGCAGUGGGGAAUAUUGGACAAUGGGCGAAAGCCUGAUCCAGCAAUGCCGCGUGAGUGAUGAAGGCGUUAGGGUUGUAAAGCUCUUUUACCCGGGAUGAUAAUGACAGUACCGGGAGAAUAAGCUCCGGCUAACUCCGUG